rnacentral:lncRNA from 1 species
UUCCCAUUUGUGUUUAGUUAUAACUUAUAACAUUAUUUUUUUCGUUUCGUUCUUAUUUAUGUUUAUCAAAUUAAAUGAGUUUUCAUGGGUUAAAAAUAUAAUUUUAAAAAUUUUGCCUGUGUUUACCUAAUUUACCGAGCAGUAAAUACUAGGAAAAUGAUGACGCGUGGGGGUGGAAAUGGCCUCGAAACAUCGCAUGAUUAUGUAAGCAAUCCGAUGACAUCAUAGAGAGAUGGAAGAGUGACGCACAUGGAGGUGUCCAAAUCCAACGGUUGAGACUAGAGAGAGACCCUCAACUUCACCAACCAAGCGCAUAUAUACGACUCCUUUAUAAAGAGAGAAAAUGGGUAUCGGAUGUUUCCGUUAUAACGGUGAAAGCGACUCAUCAUGGAGGCGCUGAAGCGGAAGAGAUCGGAAAAUGACGUCGUUAACGUCCUCGCUAAGAAGGCCAAGGGUGAAGGAGAGAAGGACGCCGCCGCCGCCUCCGGUCCCCCCUCUCCGCCCGAGGAGGAGGUCGAGGAGUUCUUCGCCAUCCUCCGCAGGAUGCGCGAUGCCAUGGGUGCACUCGCCAAGAGCAACGGCGACACCCCGAGGCUUACUGAGAGAUGGACGAUGGCCAUCGAGACCGAGGUGGUAGAAGCAGUUACCGGCGUUGAAAAGGAUGAAACCGGUAGGAAAGAGGAGCUUUUCGACCUCAACGUAGCUCCUGAGCCGGAGACUACCAGCAGCUAGCUUCGCCGGUUUUCGGCUGCCGGACUUGAACACCUUUGGUAAGGCGGUGACCUAUGGAAGAGAGGAAGGAUUCUUCUCUUUCUGUGUUGUUUUUGUGAUUUUUUUUUCCUCUCUUUUUUCUUGUGUAAUAUAGUUGCUUACAUGUUAACACCCUUAACGUUAAUGAAAAAAGUUCUAUUACUCCAAAAUAAUUUUGAGCAUUUUUUAUAUAAUAUUUAAUUAAAAUUUAAAUCGACGAAGAAAUAAAUAAGCUUUCAAACAUUUUGAUUUGAUUUUUCAUAAUCGUGAUGCGUAGGGCCGAAGAUUAGUCAUAAGAAGAAAAGUUAGUGAUCAUAUUUAUUAAAAAAUUUCUUAAACUUCAUCGAUGGCAUAUGUUUUUAAGCAUAUUAGAUUAGGCGUGGUAUCAAUCAAUUUGCUCAAAUUUUUGUUAAAUUAUAAAAAAUAAAAUAAAAAAAAAAUCUUAUAAUUUGUAAAUUAUAAUAAUGUAAAAAAUAAUACAAAGUCAUGCAUAUAAUUAUAAUAUAAAUGAGUCAAAUUUUAAUUGUUACAAGGAUCGAGGAUUGUAAUUCUUAGUUGACUCCAUUAUCAUACAACUGAAGCCAAAGUCAAUUUAAAAUCAUAAAUCUAGUCUUAACUCAUGUAUUUUAUAUUCUUUUUAUUUUUAUUGAUUAUUUAUUUAUUUUUUUAAAUAAGGGUAUUUAAUUAGGAUGAAUGAGAUUAGGUAGGAUGAGAAAGAAUAAAGUAAGAUGAGGUUGUGUUUGGACAUUUUGUUUAGCUUGUUCCUCUCUCCUCUGAUUUUUCUCUGGUAAAAAGUGACUUUGGUCUUUUUUCCGAUUCCCACUCACCCAGUAAACCUUGGUCCCUUCCCCUAGGCCCUACCUCUCUUCUUUAGCUUUUGUUUCUAUGGUUUUAUAACUACCUGUCACCUCUCUUAUUCUUUUUAUAUAUAAUUUAUUAAUUUUAAAUAUAUUUUAUAUAUUUAUAUAUUGCUUCAAACUCAUUUUAUUUUUUAUUUUUUAAUUAUUAUUAUUAUUAUUAUACUUUGGAUUAUGUCAUGUCCUAUAAAUAUAUUGAAUUAAAAAACCUUAGAAAUUAAUUUUAAAUCCUAUAAUUAGAUUAAGCACACCAAUCCGAAUCUAAUAGGACCAACUUGAAUUCAACGAGAAUUAGAAUUUUAAGUUGAUUGAAUGGUUUGGGUUGGAUACGUGGAAUUAGAAUUCAUAGUUAAUUGAAUCCGACUUGAAUAAAAUUUUAAGUUGAUUGUUUUUUAAGCAAAGUUGUAACUUGAAUAUUUUUGUCAAAUUCUCUUGGAACCAAAUAUAGUAACGAUGAGAGUCCCGUUAUCACCUCUUUUUCUUGUUUAUAUAUAUAUUUUUUAAAUAAAAAUAAAAACAAAAUAGAAGGAAAAGAUUCUAUCCCUAAUUUUUUUUUCUAUUUAUAUUUCAUUUAAAUAACUUUUUUUAUAUUUUAAUUAUACCUAUAUUUCAAUCAAAUUUAAAAACCAAACAAUAAUGAAUACGGAAGAAGAGGAAUAGGAAGAAAGAAAAGGGAAUAAUUGUAAAUAUAUUAAAAAUUUUAAUUCAAACUAAAUUAAACUAUUUUUAUUAUAGAAAAAUAUCAUUAUUUGUAUUAUAUUUACUUAAAUUAAUCACUUGCAUGACUUGAAUUCAAAAUAUAAUCUAAUGCAGCCUAAUAUCAGCCAUAAUCCACUAUUUAACUAUCUAACCUUGUCUUCUUAUUCACCAACCAUAUAUUAUCUUACCAUUAAAAAUAUUAAUUUUUCAUGUAAACUACAAAAUUACAAUAAUUAUCCAAUUAAAUUAAAUUUGAGACUUAUAAAUCAAUUUAUUAAUGUUCCCAUUAAGAUAACUUAUUGCCAUGUGUGUAUAUAUAUGUAUAUCAAAAUGUUAAAUAUAGGGUAACAAUAUCACUAAAUGAGGUGCAAAUUUUGGUAUGAUGCCUCUUCAAAAUUUACUAAAAAUAUAUUAUACAUGAACAAAAUUUUAUUGAUACCUCUAUUAAUUAAUUUGAGGGAUAAACCUACUUGGAUAAUAAAUAUCCUAGAAAUUAAUGAGACUUCUUUACUUUUCAAGUAGUUCUGUUGGAUCAUUCACUCAAGACCUUUAGUCUUUACCCGAAUCCGAUGUUAAAAACGAGAUCACUUUUAACAUAUUCAUUAAAAAGGAUUCUAAUCUAAUUCAUAACCUAACUUCCAAAAUCAUAUAUUAUAUGGGUUUAUUUGUUGAACUAUUAAUUUUCUUAAAAGUUUAAAUUCAUAAGAUUUAUAUUCAAUAUACAUAUCAUAUGUCGUCACAAAAUAAAUGGGAGAAAUGUAAAUUACCUUCAACAUAAGACCUCCUGUUAAAUCAAAAUCUAAUAUCAUGUUGAAUUAUUAAUUUUCCUUGAGGCUUAAGUUUACCGGAUUUUGGGUUGGAUAUGCAUAUCAUGGUACUUAAUAUUCCUUAAAUCCUACAUUGGUGAGGUAGCAUGUGGGCUUUAGAAAAGGUCAAUGUAGAGUGGGUUUCACUCCAUUAAUGUUGGGUAUGAAAAUGGAAAUGUCCAAUUGUGUCUCCAACUCUAGUGCUUUCACUCCAUUCUUGGUGUCCUACUACUUUCACGUUAUGGGGUUGGAAGCAUCCGAGAUGGAGCUAAAGCCUAAAGCAAAGAAGAUUCCUUGGACAAACUUCGAAAAAUUUCUAAGUUCUAGAGUGAAAAAAAAAAAAGUGAAAAUGGGUGAGUGGUGAAAUUAGAAAACAGUAUAAAAUUUGAAAGGAAUGGUAAUAUAUAUAUAUAAAAAAAAAAAGAUUAAAAACAUUUUUUUCAAAAAAAAAAAAAACAACAAAACAAAAAUAAUGCAUAUUAGUGGUAGUAAACUUUGAUGCAGUGGGAGGCCCAAAAGAAACAUGGCUAUUGGUCCAAUAUUAGAAACCUGUGGCCCAAAUCCAGCUGGAAAAGUCAAAAGUUGUUUGGGACUUUCCACCAGAGCUAAAUCACCCAAGAAGGCCUUUUCUCCUGUCAAUUUUUAUAUUAGUUUUAAGGUAUUUACUCUAGCUUUUUGUUUUUUUUUUUUUGUUUUUUGUUUUUGUUUUUAAUUUGUUUUUAUUUUAAAAAAUGGAAUCGAAUUUAAAUUCAUGAUUUGAAACUUUUAGUAAAUAUGAAUAAUAUUAUGCAAAAAUUAAUCAAUAAAAAUAAAAACAAAAGAUUUUUUAUUAUCAUAAUACACCCUUUUAAACCAAAAAUCCAUUCCAUUAAAAUUAAUUAAAUUUGUAUAAAAAUUCUUAUUCAACUUUAAAGAAAAAGUUUUUAUUUUUUCAAAAGUCAAACCACAAAAAACUUAAAUAUAUUCACCUUAAAAUAAAACCAGAAAUGCAAAGUUCUUGUUUGGUAACCGUUUUUAAAAAUAAUUCUAAAAAAUAGUUUUUAAGAACAAUUUUUGAAAACCGUAUUUUGAUGUUUUGUAUAACCAAAGUCUAUUUAGGAAUCUAAAAUAUUUUUUAACAUUUUUUUAAUAUUUUUAAAUAUGUUUUAAAAAUAAUUUUUAUAACCAUAACUUUAUUUUUAAUUAUUAUUUAUGUUUGUAUAAUUAUUUUUUGAACUGCUCUAAAAAAACAAGUAAAAAGAACUAAAAUAUGUGAUUUGAAAACACCAUAUUUUUUGUUUUUAAGAACAAAAAACAAAAAACUGUUUUUAAUUGUCAAAGGUAUUUUUCAAUUUUUUUAUUAUAAGAAACAAAAAAAUGUUCUUGAAAAUAGUUGUCAAACAUGCACUAAAGGGUUAUUGGGAAAUUAUUUUUUAAAAUAACUUUCUGUUAUUCAGAACAAAAAACACAUUUGGUAACCAAAAAUUAUUUUCUUAAGAAAUAAAAUAAAAUAUUUUCAAAAAGCAUAUUUUAAUUGUUUUUUUUUUACUUGUUUUCUAAUGGAUGUUUUAAAAAAUAAUUAUACAAUGUAAAAUGAUUAAAAAUAACAUUAAUAUAAAAAUUAUUUUUAAAAAUAUUAAAAACAUUUUAAGUUUUAAAAUAGACUUUUAUUUUAUAAAAAUUAUAAAAUAAUUUUCAAAAAUUGUUUUAAAAAACUAUUAUUCAAAAUUAUUUUCGAAAGCGAAACAAACUCUUAAAGAACAUUGAAUUUUUCUAUGAAAUAGAGACUUUCAAUAUAUAUAAGUAGAAGUACGAGAUUUUGAUACACUUUUUGUUUCUUAUUUUAAAUAGAAAAAUGGUAAGAAAUUGUUUAUAAGUAACUAUAGUUACCUUCAGAAUAUAAUAAUUUUUUUUAAAAAAAAGGUUUAAAACAUAUAAAUAUUAAAAAACUUUUUACUACCUUAAAAUUUUAAAAUUUUGAUAGAAAGUUUUAAAAAUAAAAUGAAACCAUCAUUUUUUCUUUUAAUAGAAUUUUGAAUACUAAAAAAAAAAAUGGAUCAACCAUUUUGUACAUUAUACAAUGAGUCCAAAUUGGACAAUUUCUUUUUAAUUAAAUCGAUGAAAUAAAUUAUCAUUAAAAUAGUAAAAAACUUUGAACAGAAAGACAACCUCUUAUUAUUCAUAUCAAUUUUUUUUUUUAAAUCUUAAAAUUUAGACCCACGAUUUGUAUCAUAUUUUCUAAUACCCUUCCUUGUGUAUAACCCUUUUUUACUGAUUUAUAUAUUCUCUCUCAUACACCAUCAAAUUCAAUCACUUAGAAAAAUAAAUAUACGAUUAGAUUUGAAUACAUGAUCUUCCAUCAUAUCAUAUUAGAAAAUUAAUUUUCUUAAAUUUGUUAAGGUUGUAGAAUUUGUACACGUAUGCAAGAUAUUUUAAACAUUUUGAUUGUGAUGACUGAUAUUAUUGAGUAGCUAGCCAAGUGGCUAGCUACUAGCAAGUGGGGUUGCACCACAUCUCUCUUGGCUAGCUACUAGCAAGUGGGGUUGCACCACAUCUCUCUCUAUUAUUUGAUUGGGAUCCAUUUUGGUUGAUUGUACACCUUAGAUAUUAUUUAUUUUUCCUUUAAAAAAAUAAAAUAAAAUACAAUAAUAGACCACACUCCAAUAAUAUGUGAUAGACCCAUAGAGUGCUAUUUCCUUAGGUCAAAUGUCACUUUGAAUUGACAGAUAGCCCACCUUAGCUUUCCACAUUAUUUUGAGCUUUCUAGCUUAUUCCUAGCAAAUGAAUGGUUGCAGUUAGUCAAUGUAUCUAUAAUUUUUUUUUAUUAAAAAAAAAUCAUAAUUUCAAUGUUUUCCAUUAAAUUUUAUGAAAAUUGGUAUUCAUUUGAUGUGAUCUUAUUUGAAUUGGUUAGAUUUUGGUGACAUGGUGUCAGAUCUUAAUCUAGUCCACUUAAGUGUUUGGAAGUGCAGCAAUUUAUAUCUAGAAAAUGUUAGAAUUUAUAAAUCAUGUGCUUUAAAAUUUUAAAAUAAUUAUUCUUUAAUCAAUUAAAUGCUAAAUAAAAAUAUGAUGGAAAGAAUAUAGACUUAUUUAGAUCCAAUCUAGAAUUUGGGUCAUUUUUUAAAUUUCAAAUUUCAAAUCUAAUGUUUGCAUUUUAAUGUUAUGUUUGGAUUAAUUUUUAAAAUUUUAAAUUAUUUUUCUAAAAUUUAAUAAGAGUUUGUCAAUAUAUUUAUUAAUGUAAAUAAAAUUAUUUUUGUCUUAGAAGAUAGCUCAUAAAAAAAUAAAAGGAAGAUGCUAUUUUCAAUAAUAGUUUUUUGUUUUCUAAAACAAAAAAUAAAAAAACACUUAAUAAUCAAAAACUAUUUUUUAUUUUAUAUUCUUAAGGAUAAAAAACAGUAUGUUUUAAGAUAAUAUUUUUUAAUUAUUUUUUUACUUUCACAUGUUUUUUAGGAUUAUUUUAAAAUUUUAAAAACUAUUUUUAAAAACUGUUUUCAAAACCAUGUACCAAAGCCUAACAUUUUCCCAUUUGAAAAUUUUCUUUGUACUUAAAAUGAAAAGUUUAAAUCAUGAUUUUAGCUUCAAAAAGCUAUUUUACGAUAUUAAAUUUAUUUUUACAGAAAAUUUAUUAAAUAAAAUAAAAUAUAAAAUUUUAGUAAACACAUGUAUCACGUUGUUUUCUUACUAAAAUUUGUAUGCACACCAUUUUGGAAUUUACUCUAGUGUUUAGAUCCAAACGGCCAAGCCCCUGGGUUUGGAAAAUACUCUUAAAUAAAUUUCUUUCAAAAAAAUAUUAUAACUUUUGUCCACAAACCCACAGUAAUAAUUAUCCACAUGCUGCUAAAAAACAGUACACCAACUCUGCAACUAAUCACAUGAGGUAGGCCAAAAUAAAAUCACAUAAAAAAUGGACCAACUUGGUCCAUGGUCCACACAUGCCACAUUAGUCUUUGUGGCUUAUCCAUUCAUUUAUUUAUUUUAUUUAAAAUAUGAAUUUAUUUGAAAUUGGAAUAAAAAAAUUAUUUAGAUUUCAUAUUUUGAAUAAAAAUUUUAAAAAUUAAAUUCAAACAAAAUAUAACGACUUGUACCUGAGACCCAAAAAGACUCCCACGAUUUUAAAACACAUUUAUAAAGUUAAGAAAAACUUAUACAUACAUAAUAUUAUAAAAAAAAUUUUCUAUUCGAUGUGAGACAUUGUACUAACAUACUUAUAAUUUAUUAAAAAUUAAGAUAAAGAAAGGCAGAUAGGAGAUCGGGUUACAUUUUAAAUUAUUGUCUAGAUUUUUCUCAAAUGUUUUUAGACGGUUUAAAUUCAAUGAACACAUUUGUUAAUUGAUGGUAGGCAAGCUUGGUGGACACUUCUCCAAUUAGAAAUUGUAGCCCCCAUUAUUAGAAUUUAGACAAAUAAUAGCUUAUCUUAUUAAUCAGUUUGGUCAAUUCCAAGGUUUACAAACUUUGGAAUGAUUCAAACAAUUGUAGUCCCCAUGUUUUUAUUUGAUGGAUGACACCUUCUUCCUUGCCCACAUUUCAACUCCACUAGCAAAUAGAAGUAAUCACCGGUCUUCUCAUGCUAGCAUUUUUAUAUUGUAUUUUUUUAUUAUUAUUGGUUGAUGUGAUAAAGUCUCCAUCAUCUUCUUGAUGAAAAUUAUUAAAAUAUCUUUAACCAUUUAGAAGCCAAUAUUAUAAUAAUGUAUGACAAUUCUUAAAGGUGUUGCAAUAAUACAUUCUCAGUUGUAGUUGUAUAGACCGGGGUCAUUCAUGACUUUAAGACUAUGUUUGUUUUUCAGAAAGUUUGAAAGAAAACACGAAGAAAAGAAAAUAAAAAAGAAAAGUUAGAGAAAAAAAAUAAAAUAAAAAAUAAAUUUGAAAUUAAUAAAUUAUUGUUAUACAGUAUUUCAAACUCUUUUAACUCAUUUAACUAUUUUAUAUAAAAAUUAAAUGAUUUAUAAAUUUAUAAUUUUUUAAAUAAUUUUAAUUAUAUUUUAUUUUUUCAUAUUUUCUACCAUAAAACUAAAUAAAAGGAAAUCGUUUUUUUAUUUAUUUUUUCUUUCUUUCUUUAAUACUUUAUAAAAACCAAACAUAAUAUUUGUUUACAUGGUUAAAAAGAACUCAUAUGUUGUACCCUAUAAAAUUGCAACAACACUGAUAUAAUUUGAAAUAGUUCGUUUUCAACUUUUUCCUCUUUUGAUAUGAGAUAUCGAAGUUAAAAUUUUUUUCUCUAAUUUGAUAUGAAAUAUUAUGAUUUUCGAAUUAAAUUUUUAGUUAAAAAAAAAAAACGAGGUACAACAAAUAUUGAAUUAUGAAAAAAAAUAUUAAGUUACAUCAUUGGUGUAUUAUUGACCUUUAAAGAAAUAUGUCAUGAGAACUCAAAAUUAUUAUUAUUGUCGGUAAUUUUUUUUUUUUCUCUUGUUAUACUAGAAUUUGAUGGGGAACCCUCUCACAAGUCACCACAUCAGCUCGAUCCUUAUCACUUGAGUCUGACGUAGGGUUACUAGGCUGUUAGAAUUGAUGACGUGUAUUUAUUUUUAUAUAAUAUAUUCAUUAUUUUAAAUUUGUAAGAAUUAUUUAAUUACUUGAAAGUAUGAUGAUGUCAUAAAUUUAAAUUGUUUUUUUGUGGUGUGUGUUGGGAGGUAUUUAAAAUGAUUGGAUUGAACCCCUGAUGAGCUAAAACAAAAUAAUUGGACCAUUGAAUUUGGACUCGAAGAAGAAGCGGUACCAAAUUCAAUUAUUAAUUGGUCUGAUUUCAGCAAUAAUUCACUAAUGAAGUUAAUUGGAUUAUGACAUUCUCUUUGGAUCUUUGCAACCAAACUCACCUUCCUUGUCUCUUCCUUUAGAUCCCUUUCAUAUCAUUUUUUAAUAUUUAAAUAAAUUAAUAAAAUAUUUUUUAUCAAUGUUUUCUUCUAUUUUCAAGGGAAUUAAAGAUAAUUAAACAAUAAAGUUACUCAACCAAAUUAGUGUUAACCAAAUCACAAAAAAAUAAAAAAUAAAAAAUUUAUCGUGGUUCAACAAUCAAUGUUAUUCUUACGUCCAUGAAGUGUACCGACACUCAAUAAUUUAUCAAUCAAAACAAAAGAGAAGAAUUAAUGAAACUUUAAAAAAAUAUCUUUGUUACAAUCGUACUUUUACUAAAAAAACAAAACCCUAAACAUAAAAUGAUUAAAUAAUAGAAACAAACUCAUCAAUCAAUACAUUAAAAGUUUCUCCAAGAAGCAUUGCCCUUCAACCCCCGCGAGCUGAUCAUGUAACUCAAUCCCCACGAGCUCACCAAGUAGUUAAACUCUUGACAUUUUGAGCGAAGCGCAACAAAAUUAAUUUAAACUUUAUAAUCUAACAAUUAAAAGUCAGUUAAAGGUCUAGAAAAAAAAUACAAUAGUUGGUAACUAAAUAAUUAAUAAAAUAAAUUAGAAGAAUUGAAGUAAACAUUUAUUAAAUUCAAUUUUAUAUUAAAUAAUUGGUUUUAAAAAAUAAAAUGUAAUGGAAUUAAUUUAAGAAGUUAUAUAUUUUUAAAUUUUCAUGAUUUAUAUAGUUAAAAAGAAAAGAAAAAUAAAUUUGAAAGAAUAUAUGAAAAUUUUUAAAUUUAAUUUUAUUCCAUUUUACAUUUUAUUUCAUCUAGAGUUUUUCAUUGUUUUGAAUGCGUUUGAUAAUGCUUUUAAAAAAUAGUUCAUAAUUGCCAAUAAAAUUUUAUUUAAAAACUUAAAUAUCAAUAAUAGUUUUCUCAACUUAUUUUUUCUUUAAAAUACUUGAAAAUUAGUUGACAAACACAACUUUUGUUUAGGGAUAAUAAUAAGGCAAGUUUUUUUGGGUACUCGCUUCACCCACUAAUGGAAACAGUUCGGAAUAAAGAUAAAUGAGUUUAAAGUAGGUUCAGGUAUGAUUUUGUCUCACCUCGCCCAAUCUCGAUUAUAUAUAAUUUUAAAUAAAAAAUUAGUUUAAUUAAUUAUUUUUUCAUUUUUCAACAUUUUUAAACGUAAAUAAAAUGUUACAAAAAAAUAAACAGACAAGUAUGAAAAUUUUCUAUAUUCGUUUUUUGUUUAGGAGUUUUUUUUUUUUGGAUGAAAAUAAAAAUAUAUAUAAAUAAACAAGAUGGAUUGGGAUGGCAUCACCCCCUCAAACCGUCCCAUUGUUAUCCUACUUUUGUCUCCCUCAAACUUUUACAGAAUCAAACCCAACCUAAAAUACACAAAAAAUAUACCCAAGUAACCCAACGGGCAACAACCCCAAAGGUUGAGAGUGAAGAAAAUAUGAUUCAUUUGAAGAGUAUGAGAUAACCCACCAACCACACUACAAACACAUGGUAGACACACAAAUGAUGGUAGAUAUCUUCAUUGUGAACAAGCUUGGACAUGACCCCUUUUUUUGUUUCAUUAUCUAGGUAUCUUUUCUUUUUCACUUUUCUUGUUCCAAGUUAUCUCCACUGUAUUCUUUUCUUUCCUGGCAUGCCCAAUAUUCUUUUUGACAUAUUAAAUUCAUGUGACACAUGAGAUGAUGCUUCUAUUUCUAUAUUUAUAUAUAUAUAUAUACUUAGCUUAAAGCUUUUAUCCUUUUUGUAAUGGGUAUCUCCCUAUCUAUCUACAAGUUUUCUAUUUUCAUGUUGGGGUGGGCCCAUUACUAUCUCUUGAAGCUUCUCACCCAUUUUUGAAGGCUUGUGAUAUUGUUAGAUACAAACCCACAUUUGCACGUCAAUACCACAAAAGUUGGAGCAAGUGAAAGUAUGAAAUUAGGGGUUUUUUUCUCUCUCCUAGUAUCAUAUUUAUACACUCUUACUUAUAGAAUACGUUAGGCAUGUUGUCUUCUAUCACCUUACACUUACAUUUCACUAAAGGUAUGAAUUUUUUUAUUUAUUUAUUUAGAAUUCAUGUGAAAAAUGAAGAGUAUUUCGAUGUUUAUUAACUUGAUUUGAUACCAUGAUUUGAGUUUUAGUUGAUCAGUUAUAUUCUGUUUUUUUCUUUUUGUGGGGCAUGCUUGAUGGUUUAAAAUAAAAAGUAUGAUGAUACAACAUCUAUUCUAUUUCUCAUUUAUUAUUGUAUUUGAAUUACUUAUUAAAGACGAGAAUAAGCAUGAAACAAAAACACUUUUUUGAUAAGAUUUUGAUGCUUCUCUUAUAUAUGAUAUGAUGCUUUUCCAGUGUUCUUUUAAACAUAAUUUUAAAUAUAUAGAUAGUAAAACGGUUAGAUUUAAACCUGAUCUAUUUUUUCUUCAUUAAAACGGUUAGAUUUAAACCUGAUCUAUUUUUUCUUCAUUAUAAUUAAAAAAUUGUCAUAAAGAUGGGACAAAAGAAGAAUGAAAAAAAAAAAAAAAAAAACUAUGCUUGAAAACUCAUGCAUUAUAAGAAUGUAGUGUAAGAUCGAGUCAGGGUUGAUGAAACCACUUAGAGGAAGAGUUAAUAGAUAAUUUAAAUCGAAUAUCCUAAUAUUUAAUUUUUAUUUAGAUUUUAAAGGUUUCAACAAUUAUAUUUAUAAUGAUUAAAAUUUGAUCAAUUCCACGUAAAAAUAUCAUAUGUAUAUAGAAUUACCUAAUUUGGAUGUGCCUACUUCGUAGAUCUGAUAUUUGUCCAAAUCUAUAUAGAUUCUCACAUUCUUAAUGCAACAUCUCAUGCUCUUUAGCGAACACUUCAAUUUCAUGUUGAGGUUAAUGGGUCGAACAUUUCUUUUUUUAGCUAAAAUAUUCUUUCAAGAUUGCUAUAGAAAGCUUAAAGGAUAAAGAAUUGAGGCUAUAAGGAUGAAUAUAUUCUUCUACGUAGAUUCCUGAUUACAACUCAAUAAAUAUUUGUAUAUUUAUACCUAGGUAAAAUAUUAUUGAAAAAUAUGAAAAACAACUUCAAAUAUAUGAAACAAGGACAUUUCCUCCGGGGUAGUGUUUGAAAAGCCUCAAGUACAUUUGAAUUGAACAAAAUUAUCAACCUAAACUAAUACAUCAAGAGAUAAGAUGACGGAUUUUUGAAGACGAAAAAAGAGAUAAUUGUUUAAGAUUAAAUUAUUGUAACUUAAAAAAAAAUACAAAUAAAAACUUUAAAAAGACUAAAUCCUUGGAAUAGAUGAGUUGUUUGAAAGUAGAAUAAAUGAUCUAAUACAAUUAUAAGAAUGUUUUUAGAUGUAAAUCAAUGGAUGCCCUUUGAGAAUGUUAUUAUAUGUGGGACUAAUGGCAUGAGGAAGUAGAUGUGUGCAUGACAGAAAAUUGAUUCUGUAUUAUUAAAAAUAUAUAAAUAUAAAAGCUUAUCAUUUUCUAAUGUUCACUCUUCAAUUAUUUUCUUUGAAUAAAAAGUAUUUUAUUUAUUACUUAUGUGGGUAUAUUUCUAUUUGGAUUCUAGUCUCGAGAACAACUAAAUUGAAUUAUAAGAAGAAAUCAUAAUCCUAUAAAUUGCUUCUUUAAAAAGACAUAAAUAGUAAAUUUUAGUUCACAAGGAAAAACAAUUUAGAGUGAUUAAUUUAUGAUAUUUAACAUGUUUUUCUUGCCUUUUAUUUUUUUAUAUAUGAUUAUUUUGUAUUAUAGAAGAAAUAAAUAAGGGUACUAAAUUAUACUAAAAUUAAUGAAUUACCUAAAUAUGAAUUGAUACAGGGAAACUUUGGAAAAGGUAUAUGUCGAAUCCCUACUUAUCGAACAUGAAAUCUAGCUUGUUUAAAAUAUAUAAUAAUAUUCAGGUCAUCGUACCAAGAUACAAAGAAUGGAACCAUGCAAACAAAUAGGAUUAAUGUAUAAUAGCACCAUAUGAGAUACAAUAUGAUCAAAUGCACACAUGAUGAAACUUGAUUAGUCAGUCUUUUAGAAAUGUAUCAAUUUCGUGGGACCAAAGACUUUUAAUAAAAUAUCUACCAAUGUUCCAAUAGCUAAAUUAUAUUAAAUAAUUGAUUUAAAAAAUUAACUAAUUACUAUUUAGUAAGAUUGACAUUAAACAUUUCCAUUAAGACACUGAGUUUUCAUGAUAAAAUGGUAUUAGUGUUAAAGAAUAAGUUUUUAAGGUAAAAUAAUUAGGUAAAAUUGUGUACUUGGAUUUCAAAUAAUGGAUUGUAAAUUAGAGGUCUUAAAUUCUGUGAUUUUUUAUUUUUAUAAUUAGUAUGAAGUUUUUUCAUAUGAUAUUUUUUUGUCUCUUGUUUGAUUUUUCUUAUUACUUUGAUUAUUGAUUAUUUUUAUUAUUCCUUUUAUCUCACAAAUUUAAAUUGGAUAUAAGUUUUUUAAUAAACACCCAUUCACCGUAAGAUGUUAUCCUACUAGACAAACGGUUUUUUAGUUUCAUAUGUAAAUGUUAUUAAAUCUGGGGAAUUAAAUCAUAAAUGACUAUCAAUAUUUCAACUUUUUUUUUUUCUAAUCUUAACAUCAACUCAAUUAUGAUAAUUACCAUCAAAUUUCCAAAGUAAAUAUUUUCAACACGUUAUCGAUCUUCCUAGAAAUUAUUUUGUGGAAAAUUGUACCCAUUCCCCGGGGGACCAAAAAGAGGUUAGGUAUGAAGAAGAAUGAACCCAAAACAAAGACUUGUAAACCAUGAAGGUAGGUUAGUGAAACCAAACCCUAGUGAAGUUUCUUGAAAGAAAGUAAGGUUUGAAUUAUCAAGGAGACAAGGGAUGGUCCACAUUUUGUAGCCACACUUAGAUUUUCAAAAGUUGGAUAUGAAUCAAAUGAUUCCUUGAGAGAGAAGCAAAUCAUGGAAAAGAAAAAGGUGGGAAUAUAUGAACUUGACUUGCGGAAGUGUCCCUCCACAAGCCUACCAUUUUAGAAGGCAUUUUCCUAGAAAGGGAAAAUGGAGAAUAGCCUAAGUCUUAAAUUUUGAACGGAGUAUGAUGAAAAUAAAAGUUGAUGCCUCAAAAAGCCCUCCAUUUCAUAUCUUAAUGAAUUUAGUCAAAUUUUGACAAAAAGUGAUAUUCAAUUCCUUUCAUACAAUAAUUUUUUUGUUAUCCUUGUCAAAAUCCUAAGAGCACCAUCCCACAAGACUUUCAUAAUUGAGGUGGGUGAAUGUUAAAAAUAAUAAUAAUGAUAAUAAUAUUAAUUAGUGCAUUUUUCUAAUCUCUCUUCACACUCAACUUAAUUUUAUUUUAUUUUUAUUAAAUAAAAACAUUUAUGAAAGUGAAAAAUAUAUACAUUUUCUUCAUCUCCUAAUAUAUAUAUAUAUAUAUGAUGGAUGUAUUUAAUAUUUAAUAUUUAUCAAAAUAGAAUAUUUCUAGUACUAACAAAAUUUAUAAAUUUACAUUAAAAUAGUCUUUUAAAGAUAAUUUAUAUUGUAUUUUUCAAAAUAGAUGUAUAAUUAUUUUUUAUAAUUUUAAUUUUAAAAAGCCAGUGCAAAAACCCCAUUUUAAAAAUAAAUAAAAAUAUUUUAUUUUCUCUUGUUUAAAAUUUCACGUAAUCUAUGCCACAUCAUUCAUUCAAAUUUCUUUAAUUAGAAUCAUACUUUUCUAAAUCCAUGAUGUUUUGCUAUUACUAAUAGUUGUGAAAUUCAAAAGUAUUGACAUGACAUAUAAUUCAAUAAAUAAAUAAAUGAGACAUAAUACAAAAAUUGAAGCCAACCCAUUUGAAUUAUUAAAAAAAAAUUAAUAAUAAUAAUAAUAAUUAAAGAUACAAGUGUUUUGUUGUAAAAGAUUGGAAGCAGAUGUAUUAAAUGCAUGAAAAGUUAGAGGAGAAGCUAACAGAUGGGAUUGGUAUGAUAAGAUAGAGAAAAUAAGUGGCAUGUGGGGGUUUUAGUUGUGGUUGUUGACGGUUUCCUGCCUCAUCUCCACCCCCCUCCAUUAUCAUCAACUCAUCAACCAACCCUAACCAUCAUAUUGUGUGGCCCUUCCUUUUGGAUCAUUGUCAUUGCAUUUUCCCUUUCAUAUCAAAUUUUCAUAUAAUUAUUUACACUUUAUUACUUUAUUUUUAUGAAUUUUCAUCAUUUUGUGUCUUAAUCUCAUUAUUUAUGCCUUCAUUUAAUUAUUUAGAUUUUUUUUUAUUUUUUUCAAUAUUGAAUAUGUUGGAUGAUCACAUUUUUAAUAUUUAAAACACGUUUGAUAGUAUUUUAUUCAAAAUAUUUUCAAUGUAAACAUUUUUUUUUAAGUAUUUUAAAAUAAUCAUCCAUCAAGUAUUUUUUUCAAAAAAAAUUAUAAGUGAUUUUUCAAUACCAUAAAGUUAUGUUUGCUUCUCCUAAAAUAUCAAGAAAAGAAAAAAAAAUAUAAAAAAAAAUAACUUUUUUAUGUUUGGUUAUCUUAUAAAAAAUAUCAAAGAAAAUUAAAUAUAAUUAAAAAGUUAUAUAUUUUAAAAUUAUUUAAUAAGAGUUAAAAUAAGUAAAAAUUAGUUUAAAGUAAUAGAUAAAAAUAAUUUAUUGACUUUUAAUCUAUUUUUUAUUUUUCUUAAAUUUUUUUGUUUACUUUUUUUUUUUUGAUAUUUUUUUCUCUUAUGUUUUACUUUAAAUUUUUUGAAAUCAGUAAUUUUUUAGAUUUUUAAAAGCAUCUCAAUUUUAACUUUGUCUUAUUAUUAUUAUUAUUAGAUUAGUAUUUAUUUUAAAAUCUUGCUGCAAUAGAAAUUAAGCCUGAUUCAUUUUAUGUGAAAAUAAUCUCAGGUUUAUACAAAACUGACUUUUUCAAGAUCAACACAAUUUUUUUUUUCUUUAAUUUUUAGGAAAAAUCAUUAAUAUGUAGAAAUUGAAAGUAUCAAUCCCUUUCUUUCCAGCAAAGGAGAGGACCACAUGAGGAGGCUUUUAAAUUGAUUGGUUAUUAUUCCACGUAAGUUCAAUCAAUUAUAAAUAUGUUUUUGUUUCUUAUUUUUUAAAUAUAAAAAAUAAAAUUAGAAUGGCUUUUCUAAUUUUAAAAAUUUUAAAAUAAUAAAAGUAAAAUUUUAUUUAAAUUUAAUUAAAGUAUGUUUAACAAUAAUUUUAAAAAAUAUCAUAAAAUUUUUAAAGUGUUAAAAUUGGAGAGGAUUGAGGAACACGUGAUUCACGAAAGUCCCGAAAAUUAAGCUUCGAGGGUAAUCUAGAUUCUCAAAGAUAAUCCUAGAGCUAUUAUAAUAUCUGGAAUAUUCUAGAAUCGAGGGGCUAUUUUGACAUUUUCCGUAGCAUCCCGAGGGAUAUUUACAUAAUUUGACAAAGAAAUUAAAAAUAAAUAAAAAAAGGGCAAGAUAAAAAUAUCUGAAAAGUCAUUGGCGACAUCAACGGCGAUGUCGUGAAAACCACGACAACCAAGAAUGAUAUCCACCCCCACCUACACGUGACCUGUUAUCAACCCACAGUACGCGUGGCGCCAUCUCAAUCUUCUCGACUAUUAAUAUUUGUAAAAUAUUCCACCGGCUCAGCCGCUUAUCGGGAACAGAAAAAUGAAUGGCGGUGCGUGUACUGACCUGCACAUACGGACACUGCCGCCGUGGCCAAAUUCCGUAGCGGCUCCGUGGGCGGCUGUUGUGAGCUCACCUGCCACGUCCCAAGUUUUGGUCGACGUGGUGCCUUGCAUGCGAAGUUUUCUGAGGGCCUGACUCACCGCUGUCUUACUUUCUCGUAACUCGUAUACGCCGCAAUUAUUUCGGCGCCGUUUUCGUCGGUGGCUCUUAGAUGCUCGGCUGGCUUGGCUUCUCUCCUCUGACUGUCUGCAAAUCUGCUUUUACUUUUAUUGGAAACAAAAAAAAUUAUUUCUAAAAAUUAUAAUUAAAUCUUCUUUCGUCAGAUCAACUCAUCUGACAAUUAACCUAAUAAUUUAGUUUAAAAUAAUAAAAUAAAGAAGAAAAAGUUAUGAAAAAGACGUGUUUUGGUGUUGACCUCACAGGAUUAAAAACCGUGAGAGAAGGGAAGGAAGAGGGUGGUUUAAGGUCACUGUAGAUGGACACGUGGCAUGGCAGGAGGCGGGCUCUGGGAAAUAAGGUAUUACGUGUUAGAAGCAGCAUAUUUGAAUAAUUGAAAGGCGUGGAAUGGGUUUGGGCCGGAUAUUUUCUCAUUAGGUGGGCCAAUCUUGUAAUGAAGAUCUGUUUGGGGCCCACACAAAAUGGAGAUUGACACCUCACGCUUUGUGUUUUUGUGGUGGAAGUUUCAAGUUGUUGGGUGGUGUUGGGUUGCAGACUUGCAGUUGUGACAACAUAGAAUUUUGGGCCUUGCCUUUUAUUUUACUCUAAAUUUUGUGCAUUUUCCAUUAAAUUUAAACGAAAUAUUUCUUUAUAAUAUUUUUAUUAAUAGUUUUUUAGAUUUUUAAAAAAUUAUCAAAUAUUUAAUUUUAAUAAAAAAAAUUAUCAAAUAUUGGAAAAUAAAUGAUGUCGACUAAGGCCAACUCUCACUCUGUUCAAAAUAAAUAAACAAGUAAAAUUAGGUUGAGGCCCUUCAGGGUCCUAAUAGGCAAAAAAUAGAAAUAUUAAAAGACAGAGGAUUACGUUGCAAAAUCCCAAAUAAUAAAAAUAAAAGAAGAAGCCACAUGGAAUAGCAAAAUGGGUGUGGGUCCAAUACGGAGCGGACUUCAAAACCAGAAGUUAAAUGUAAUUAAAUGGGGGAAGGAAAAUCCGAGAGAGAAACAGUGGAAGAAAGAGGAGACAAAGAAUUAAAUAGAAAAGAAUGAAAAAGUGGGACGUCCGUGAUGGGGUUGUGAGCCUCCCCUCAACACGCGCCUGUCCACAUCCCCUACUUUUUUAUUCAUUAUUAUUAUUAUUUUUUUAAAUUUAAAAUUUAAAAUACCACCCACCCCAAUUUCUCAUUUCCCUCUCCGUAUAUAAAGAGAGCCUCUCUCUCCUCGCCUUCAACAUCUGCCUGCUUCAAGCCCUUUGUUAUUCAUCUCCUACUCCACUCCAACUCUCCGACAUCCUACAUUUCGUGCCAAUCUUCAAUUUUCCCCCUCUUUCACUCCAACCAAACACCUCUUGCCUCAUUUUUCUAACAUCUUGUAUCCCGUUUUCCUAGCAUCCAAACACCUUGCGUCUUGUUUCUGUUCCUUUAUUGUUAUAAAUUUUAUGAUGGACAACCCUGCAGAGUGGGCCAAUAAGCGAGUUAGGGAGGAGGACUCAGAUCCUGACUCGGUCGAGUCGAAGCGGAUCCGAGUUGACCCGGACGAGUCGGAUGGGCUGAACUCGCCGGAGGCGAAGCGGAUCCAGGAUGACCUCCUAGAUAUUCUUGAGGACUCGGACGCUGGUGACCCGGCGAUUCUAGGGCUUGACUCGGUCAUUAGGAGCUUUGAGGAGGAGAUACUUGUGCCGCCGGCGGGUCUGGAGCUGGCGUCGGUUUGCGGCGAUUCGCAGCCGGGGCUAGGGUACCUUUGGGAGGCUUCCGACGACGAGCUGGGCCUGCCGCCGACUGACGGAGCCUCCGGCGAGGAGAAUAAGAUCGAAGCUGCGGAUUUGGAGGCCAAUUCGUCUGGUUUCUUUGGGCAUGGUGGUGACGUUUUCGGAUUUGAUGAUGAGAUUCCGAGUUACGAUUCUUUCGAGUUUGGAAUCGGUGGCGAGUUGGCUAGCCACAGCAACACCUCGGAGUUUUUGAUGCUGGAUGGACUGUUUGACUAUUCAGAUCAGAGAUACGAACCGGCCGAAUUCUCGGAGGUAUCUUGGCAACAUGAGUCGUUGCCGGCCGUCUAGAUGUUUCGGAAUUUUUCGGGGGCCGGAAUAGUGCAGACACAGUGCAUAGGAAGUUUGUAAAUUUUAAGAAAAACAAAUGUGAAUUGAAAACUCAGACAGUAGAAAUUCGUUAAUUUAGACCACAACUAUACCGAUUGCCGAUUGAGAUUUGAGAUGGACUCUUCCUUCCCAAAUAUUCAAAACAAAAAACAUAUCCUAAGUUUGGAGUAUGUUAUGGAGGAUAUUAUUCAAUGUCAUUUAAUUCUAAUUUAACAUUGUACUUAUCUUCUACGCUAUUCAACAAAUACCAUCUACCGCUAAUAUUAAAUUGCGUAAUAGCAAACAUCCAUGCCCUAAAGAUUAAUCAGUCUGGAUGCUCUGAACCAAUGGGUGAAGACUGAAGAGCCCGUUUUGGAUCCACACGGAAUUCUUUGCAGUGUGGUUGGAGUGAUUUUUACUUUGGGCUUCCCCGUAACUUUUUUUUUAAAAAAAAUAAUAAAUGGUUGAGAAUGAGAAUACAUUUCGAAUUUUUUGAUUUUAUCAUAUUUAAAAAUAACUAUACAAUUACUAAACAGUCCCCCGCUCCCCUGAAAUUUAAAAAAAAGUUGUUUGGGGUUAGUGGGAUUUGAUGCCUUAAGCUAAAUAGGGACUUGGCUCCCUACCACUAGUCUGUAGUAUGAUAUUAUUUUGCCUCCCGAACUAAGUUCACAUAUAUGCCCCGCCCCCUCAACGCCUCGUCAACUUGUUUUCUGGCUCCGCUAGUGUAGAUGAUAGACGCUAAAAUAUGGCAGGUAGCUCCCAGAUGUACACCUUUGGAAAGGCUCACACCCUCUUAAGGAUUUUACAAAAUAAAAAAUUAUUAUAAAUUAAAUUUAUGAUUAAAAAAGAAAAAUUAAAAAGUAUUUAUAAAAUAAUAUUAAUAUAUGAUAUUUAAAUUAUUUUAUAUAUUAAAUAUUUUAAUUUGGAUAUUAUUCAAAAUAAGAGAAAAUUUUAUUUUUUAAAUAUAAAAUAUUGAAAUAUGAGAUAAUUUUUAUUUUGAAUAUUAAAAAUAAUAUAUAUUUUAUAUUAUUUUUAUUAUUUAUUUUGAUCUCCAUUAUGAAACCGAAUAUAUAUAUAUAUAUAUAAAUCCUGAAAACAUGUCAUGAUCUUCAGAUAGAGAAUAAACGAAUUUGAGUCCAUUUUGAACAUGGUAUGAAUCUUUUAAGGUUGUGGAGGGCACCACCUUUUACUGAAUUCUCUCUAACGAUGGGAGCGGGAGAGAAACGGGUCUGUUCUUAUUUCAAAAUAAUGUGAUGAAUUUGAACAGACACUUAGUAUUUGGAUUUAUACCCUCAUGCCUUAUGACCAUACCCUUUGGCUAUUGGGCCUCAUGAGUCUUAGGCCCAUCAUCUAAGGCCCGUGAUGGUAAUGGGCUCUACACAUAAGGUGACCCAUACUAUGGAAAACCGAUACAAAAUAAAUAUCAAAAGGCGAAUAACUUAGUCAUAUACCAUUGCUAAAUAUGUGUGAGUCCAUAUCUUAGCAAAUUUUUAUUUAUUUUUAUAAAUUAAAUAUAAAUAUAAUAUAAUAUAACAUAUCUCAUUCGAUUCAUUAUUUUAAUAUAUCAUAUGAUAUAUACAUCUAAAAAUAUAAUAUCUUAUUGAAAAUCAUAUUUUACGAUAUAUAUUUUCUAUUCAAUUAGAUAUAAUAUUUUAAAAUAUACAUAUCUUAUUCUGUAUGAUCGUAUUACCGAUUUUUCUUUUUAUUGAAAAAUCAAAUCCUUCAAAUAGAAGCUUAAGAAUUAGUUUAUCAAGAAAAUAAUUAUGAUUUUUUUAAGGAUUUUUUUUAUAAAGUAUUUUUCUUUGAGCUUAUAAAAAAAGUUAUUAGAUAUCAUAAUUCUUGUUUACCCUUAAACAUUUAACAAUUCAAUUAAUAACACUAAACUUUUGGGCCCAUGGGCGAGGGUUGAAAUUUCAAGUGCCAACAAUCUUUACACUCAAAAUUCCUUAAAAUUUUGAGGGAAAAAAAUAGAGGAGAAAAGAAAAUAGUAAGUAAAAUAAAAAAUUAAAUUAAUUUUUUUGAAAAAGAUUUAUAUGUUAUUUUAAAUUUAUUUAACAUAUAUUAACCUAUUCUAUAUAAAAAUAAAUAAUUUUAAAAGAUAUAAAAUUUUAAUUAAUUUAAUUAUAUAUUUUUCUAUAUUUUUGUAAUAAAAUCAAACAUAAUAUAUAUAAAAUAAAAAUAAUUUAUUGCAACUUUAAAAAAAAAUUAUUUAAAAAUUGGAGUUCUUGCCCAAUUUGAAAAAGACAAAAAUUAUGAUAUUUUUGGAAUUUAAAGGCAGUAAUUUAAUAAAUUUUAUUUUGAAGAUAUUAUUCGGAUUCUUCUCAUCCACAGACGCACCUCCAUAGUCUCCGUUCAAAACUCCGACGCCACACUCAUGUCUCUCACUAUAGCCGGAACCGCAGUAGCCAGGGGCGGCGUUGGCCUUACCACCACGAGCCCAUCUACUCACCUCCCAAUUCGCCGCCACUUUCUCCUUCCAUCUCUCCCUUUCACUCUCAUAACAACAACAACAACAACAAGAUCAAGAACUUCCCACAUAGUUUUCGCCAAGAAGCUCUCGUCCCGGACUGGAAGGUUCGACAGCAAGAAUAGAAGGAGCGGCACAACAACCAAGGAAGGGCAGCAAGAACAGCGAGAAGAGGCUGAGAUUAAAGAAAUUGGCAGCACAGAGAAUGUGGGUGUGGCUGAUGGUGAUGAUGAUGAUGAUGGGUAUUUCUUGCCGGAGCUUCCCGGGGACAAGCCGGACUUCUGGGAGGGGCCUCAGUGGGAUGCUCUCGGCUUCUUUGUUCAGUAUUUGUGGGCUUUCGGCAUUGUUUUUGCGGUACUCUCUUUACUGAAUAUCUGGCUUAUUUAUUUAUUUUUAUUUUUAUUUUAAAUUUUGUUAUUUUCUGCAGUAGAGUAUUAGUAUCAUAGAGAUGAAUGUGAGAAACUAAGGUCCUUAUUGAGAAUAGAUUCAUCAAUGGAAUCAUAGUGUAAGGAAAUUGCAGAGAAUCUCUCUUUUUUUUUUCUUGCUUGGAUGCUUCAGGAAAAUGGGCAAAGAAUGAAUUAUCAGGAAAAUUAAGUGAACAACUUUAUGUAUUAUCGAAUACGGUUGUUUGUUAUCCUAGAAAGUGAGGAGGAUUGGAGAAAAAGAGAUAAGAAAUUUCUUUACGUAUUACUUGGUAAUGUCAUCAUUGCAUAAAAAUAAUUUGGGAAUUCCAUUUAUUUUUUAUUGUAAAUCUCGAGAUUAGGAUUAACUAGAGAAGUCCUUGAAUCAAGGUAUGAGUGCUUACUAGCACCCCAAGUGUGAGGAAUCAUUUCCUUCCAAUCCACCAUCUUUGCUUUUCCCCGCAAUGUCAACCUCGUCGAUCUUGUUGCAUGUUUGGAUGAACACUGAUGAUGCUUCCUAUUUUAUUGUAGGCGUCUAGGGUAGAGUGGAAGAACAAUGUAUGGAUCACUGUGUAUAAAUUCUGUUUUCUACCAAGCGAAAUAAGAAGUUUUUUUUUUUUGAUUGGAACGAAAUAAGAAGUAUGGAUGGGUGUAAUUUGGGCAAUAACCAUGCUUGACAGAACUAAAUGUUCUUACAGGCAAUUUUUCCCAUUGAAUUGGAGAAAAUUCUCAUGCCAUUACCUUGUCGAUGUGAGCUACCCAUAAGUUUCAAAGUUAUGGGAUGGAAUGAUGGAUGGGUAGGAUGGGGUUUAAGGAAGCGAAGCCAACAAAUUUAGGAGGUGGUUUUUUGACAGUAAAACCUGCCCCAUAUGUUUAUUUUUUUAGUUCAUUGAAGAACAUGUGUCUAUUAUUGUCGCAUUGAUGGGUUAACCCAUCUUAGCCAGCCCUUAGUCCAUGCAGUACUUUCUUCCUGAAUAGAAUCACUAUUUACUUGUAGAGUCAUUGAUCUUUAUUGUGUAUCCUGAUCGUCUUAGUCCUGUUCAUUCCAUCUUAUCCUCAAUUGGUGUUGUCUUUAUCUACUCAUGAAGGCAUCUGGUUGAACAAUUCUGAUUGGAAUGUCUAGGUCUCAUGCCUGGCUUGCCAAGUUGUCAUUCAUACCAUACUUUUCAUCACAAGGAAAAUCAAUUUCACUGGAAGAGGAGUGAAUCCCCUGCAUGUAGAGUAUACAAACUAUAAUAGGGGCAAGGAUUAAAAUCUAAAACCCUAAAAAGAGCCAGAAAUGAAAUUUUCUGAACUCUCCUCUAAUAUAGAGAUCCUUGAGGUUUCAUUUGGAUCUUGGAAAGUUCAAGGAAAUGGGAAAAAAAUAUGGAGUCCAAAUUAUGUUGUUCGGUUUACUGUGGAAAGUAUGAAGAAAAACUAAAUAUAAUGAAAACAAGUACCUAUAGAACAAGAAUUGCUGGGUGGAAUGCGAGCAUCCCUCCUCUGACAUGCAAGUUUUUUUUUUUUUGAUGAAUAAAGAGCUCCUCUGAGAUGACAUCCCCUUUUGAACUUAUUUUUAUUUUCUUUUAAUUUUUUUCUUUUAUUUUUUUUCCCUCAUGCUUUCUCUCAAACUUUCCAAGUUCCAAACAAAGCCUAAAGGAAAGAAGGGGGGGUGUAAUUCUCAAGAUUGGCAUGUGUUGAAAUCCGUGCAACAAUUAAUGGCGAAAAAUAGAAAAUCGAGAAAGAAGAACACAAAGAUUUAACGUGGUUCGGCUAAUGCCUACGUUCAUGGGAACAGGGAAAUAGGAUUUUCACUAUGUUCAAAUUAGGAUUACAUAAAAGGGUACUUAUAUUAACCCUUAUGAAUGAAAAUUCCAAAAAUACCCCUGAACCACCCCCCAACCUAUCGUUCACCCCACAACAAAUAUGAGCCACAUACUACAACAAUCUCCACCUUGGCGAAUAUUCACUCCGCCCUUAGGAGACAAGAAACAUAGCUUAUAACUCCACUUGGGACAAUAGGUUGGGGUAUCUCUCAUCUAGCAACUGGAGACAUUAAUAAGUUCAAGCAAUGCUUGAACUUUUCUGUGGUAACAGGCUUUGUCAACAUGUCUGCUGCAUUCUCAGAGGUGUGAACCUUCUCAAGUAACAGUUCACCAGAAGAGACCAAUUCCCUGAUCUUAUGAAAUCUCACAUCUAUGUGUUUGGUCCUUGCAUGAUACACCUGGUUCUUUGCCAAAUAAAUGGCACUUUGACUGUCACAAUAUAAUUGAACUCCACCUUGCUGAAUACCCAACUCCUUAACCAAACCUAUAAGGCAUAAUGAUUCCUUUGUAGCCUCAGCUAUUGUCAUAUAUUCUGACUCGGUAGUAGAUAGUGCAACUAAAGACUAUAUCAUAGAGUUCCAACAAAUGGGUCACCCACCAAGAGUGAAUACAUAACCUGUGGUAGACCUCCUGUCAUCCAAGUCUCCUGCAUAGUCUGCAUCAACAUAUCCUCUAACUGAAGGAUCACUCUGUUGUUUGCUGAACAUGAUGUCAUAGUCUGUAGUACCCCUUAAGUAUCUAAAAAUCCACUUGACUGCAUCUCAAUGCAUUCUUCCCAAAUUUGAUAGAAACUUGCUCACUACACUAACAGCAUGUGCCAAAUCUGGUCUUGUACAAACCAUAGCAUACAUCAAGCAUCCCAUUGCACUUGCAUAUGGAACCUUUGACAUGUCUUUCACUUCAUCAUUUGUCUUUGGACAUUGAUUAGUAGACAACCUAAAAUGGUUUGCCAAAGGUGUACUUACUGGUUUUGCAUCAUCCAUGUUGAACCUCUCCAAUACUCUCUUGACAUAGCUAGACUGAGAUAACCAUAAUCUCCCUGAAGCUCUAUCCCUGUGAAUCUCCAUUCCAAGAAUCUUCUUGCCUGCACCUAAGUCCUUCAUGUCAAACUCCUUACUCAACAAGGACUUCAACUUAUUGACCUCAACCAUACUCUUUGCAGCAAUUAACAUGUCAUCCACAUAGAUAGAAAAAUAAAUGAUGAAUCAUCAUCUAGGCUUUUUACAUAAACAUAGCAAUCAUACUCACAUCUUUUGUAGCCAAUCCUGAUUAUGUAGGAGUCAAAACGCUUGUACCACUACCUUGGAGACUACUUUAACCCAUAAAGUGAUUUCCUCAAUUUACAGACCAAGUGUUCUUGUCUAGGUUGAAUAAACCCUUCUGGCUGUACCAUAUAGACCAACUCCUCCAAAUCACCAUGAAGAAAAGCUGUCUUUACAUCCAUUUGUUCCAACUGCAUGUCAAAAUGUGCUACCAAACCCAACACUGUCCUGAUGGAAGUGUGUUUGACCAUGGGGGAGAAGAUCUCAUCAUAGUCAACCCCUUUCCUCUGUGAGUAACCCUUUGCUAUUAAACGAGCUUUGAACUUUUCACCAUCUUUUUCUGAAACUGCUUCUUUCUUCUUGUACACCCAUUUGCAUCCUAUUGCUCUCUUCCCCUCUAGAAGCUCCACCAUAUCCCAUGUCUGGUUCUUAUGCAAAGACUGAAUCUCCUCCACCACAGCUCCCAUCCAUCUAUUUUUCUCUUGGCUGUGUAUUGCCUCUUGAAAGGUAGUAGGAUCCCCGCUACUAGUAAUCAAUGCAUAAGAAACCAAAUCUUCAAAACCAUACCUAGUAGGUGGCUUAGUAGUGCAUCUGGGUCUGUCUAUGACUAUACUGUGAUGUUGCUGAUCUUCUGAACUAGACUUCCCUGCAUUCCGAGCAUGAUCCUCUAUAUCAUGGGUCUCUAAUUCCACUUGUAUCAAUUACUCAUUACUGUUGCAACUUUCUGGUUCUUGUUUCUCUCCUUUCUGAGUACACUGUAACAUGGGUUUCUCAUCAAAAACCACAUCUCUACUGAUCACCACCUUAUUUGCCUUUGGAUCCCAGAGUUUGAAACCUUUCACCCCUUUUUGAUACCCCAGAAAGAUACAUUGUCUAGACUUCGCAUCAAGCUUUGAUCUCUCCUCAUUAGGAAUGUGCACAUAGGUUGGGCACCCAAAUACUCUCAAACCAGAGUAAUCUACCGGAUUGCCUGUCCAUACCUCCUUUGCUACUUUCCCAUCUAAUACUACUUUGGGUGACCUGUUGAUCAAGUAACAUGCUAUGUUCACUGCUUCUGGCCAAAAUUUCUUUUCAAGGCCUGCAUUCAAUCUGAGACAUCGAGUUCUUUCAGCUAUUGUUCUGUUCAUCCUUUUUGCUACACCAUUCUGCUGUGGUGUCCUGCGUACUGUGAAGUGUCUCUUAAUCCCAUGCUGCUCACACAAUUCCAUAAACUUUGAAUCUAUAUGCUUAGUACCAUUAUCUGACCUGAGACAUUUUAUCUUUCUCCCUGUCUGGUUUUCUACUUCAGCUUUCCACAACUUGAACUUGGCAAACGUUUCUGACUUGUGUCGCACGAAGUACACCCAAACCUUUCGUGAAUAAUCGUCAAUAAAACUCACAAAAUACAUACUUCCUCCCAAAGAUGCUACCGUUACUAGUCCCCAAACGUCUGUAUGAACAUAGUCAAGAACCCCCUCUGUCUUGUGUGUGGCUGUCUUGAACUGCACUUUAUUUUGUUUCCCAAAAACACAAUACUUGCAGAAAUCAAGUUUACAUGUUUUGAUACCCCUUCAAAAGAUUUCUCUUGUGAAGCUCCAUCAUCCCACGCUCACCCAUAUGCCCUAACUGCAUAUGCCACAAAACUGUACUGUCUGACUCAGACUUUGCGGUUGCAACUCCACUUACAAUUGUGGUACCCAACAGUUUAUAAAUAUUUCCUGCUAGUUUCUGCCCUUUCAUCACUGUCAUAGCACCUUUGCUCACCUUCAUUACUCCACUUGUAGACUUGUAACUAAACCCGUUACAGUCUAAAGUCCCCAAAGAAAUCAGAUUCUUCCUUAAAUCAGGUACAUGUCUAACAUCACACAACGUUCUAACAACACCAUCAAACAUUUUAAUUCUGAUAUUCCCUAUUCCAGCAACUUUACAUGAAGCAUCAUUACCUAAACAGAACCAGAAUUUACCGACCUGUAUGUGUUAAACCAAUCUUUAUUGGGUGUCAUAUGAUAAGAGCAUGCUGAGUCCAGGAUCCAAGAAUCUGUAAGAUGAUCUAAACUGGAUGAAACCAACAACAUAUCACCAUCACCACUCUCUGAGUCUUUUUCUGCCACGACAUUCGUAGACUUUGAUGAACCCUUUUUAUUUUCCGAUACCGAGCCCCCUUUCUUUUUCUCUGGACAAUCUCGUUUCAUGUGCCCCUUUUUUCCGCACUUGUAACAUUGUAUGUCCUUUCUAUUCCUGGAUUUAGAUCGAGAUUUAUUAUUACUCGAUUCACUCUGGAACUUGUUUCUCCCACAUUCCUGAUUACUCUUUGCCACAAGCCCUUCACCCUGAGAACUCUCAUCAUUGGCUUUCUUCCUCUAAUUAAAUCCUAAAAGAACGCUUGUGAUCUCCUCCAAAUCAAGAGUUUCUUUCCCCCACAUCAGAGUUGUAACCAGAUUUUCAUACAUAGAAGAAGCAGGAAGGGAAUUCAGUAACAUCAACGCCUUGUCUUCGUCUUCGAACUUCACAUCAAUUCGCUUCAAAUCACUAAUGAUCUGAUUGAACACGUUCAUAUGUUAGCUUAGAUCUGAACUCUCUGCCAUCUUAAGACCAUACAGUUUCUGCUUAAGAUACAACUUGUUUGUCAACGACUUAGACAUAUACCAACUUUCCAAUUUCAACCAGAUUGCCGCCGGCAAUUCCUUAUCCAUGACAUGGUACAUCACGUCAUCAGCUAAACAAAGUCUGAUCGUUGCCGCAACCUUCGCUUCUAAAUCCUUCCAAUCCAUGUUGUUCAUUCCUUUUGGUUGCUUUCCGUAUAACGCCUUCACCAUACCUUGUUGCACUAACAGAUCCUCAACCUUCCUCUGCCAUAGGCCGAAAUUCCUAGAUCCAUUGAACUUGACCAUGUCGAACUUCGCAGAAGAAAUCCCAGACAUCAAACCUGGUGCUUUGAUACCAAUUGUUGAAAUCCGUGCAACAAUUAAUGGCGAAAAAUAGAAAAUCGAGAAAGAAGAAUACAAAGAUUUAACGUGGUUCGGCUAAUUGCCUACGUUCACAGGAAUAGGGAAAGAGGAUUUUCACUAUGUUCAAAUUAGGGUUACAUAAAAGGGUAUUUAUAUUAACCCUUAGGAAUGAAAAUUCCAAAAAUACCCCUGAACCACCCCUCCAGCCUAUUGUUCGCCCCACAACAAAUAUGAGCCACAUACUACAAUAGCAUGCUUGGCCACCAACCCUAAAAGAAUCCUUCCAACUAGACUAGAAGUGCCUGAAACAAUCUAUAGAGGAAAAUGGCAAAGAUCAAAAGGGACACAAAAAGAGACAAGGUGAUCCAUCAGUUUAACACUUAUUCUUAAUGUGUUGAUAUGGAUUACUCACUUUCUUCUUGAAUGUCUAGGUCUCAUACCUGGCUUGCUAAGUUGUCAUUCAUACCAUACUUUUCUUUACAAGGAAAAUCAAUUUCAUUGGAAGACGAGUGAACCCGCUGCAUGUAGAGUAUACAUACCAUACUAGGGGCAAGGAUUAAAAUCUAAAACCCUAAAAAGAGCCAGAAAUGAAAUUCUCUAAACUCUCCGCUAAUAUAGAGAUCCUUGAAAUUUCAUUUGGAUCUUGGAAAGUUUGAGGAAAUGGAAAAAAAAUAUGGAGUCCAAAUUGUGUUGUUUAUGUGGAAAGUACGAAGAAAAACUAAAUAUAAUAAAAACAAGUGCCUAUAGAUUAAGAAUUGCCAGGUGGCAUGCCAGCAACCCUCCUCCGACAUCCAAGUUGGAGAAGAUAUAUGAUUAUAGUGGAAAAGAUAGCAUAACUUCCAAUGACAUUCCCCCUUUAAACUUAUUUUUAUUUUCCUUUAAUUUUUCUCUCAAACUUUCCAAGUUCCAAACUAAGCCUAAAGGAAAGAAGCGGGUGUAACUCUCAAGAUUGGCAUGUUUGGCCACCUACCCGGAAAGGAUCCUUCCAACUAGACUAGAAGUACCUGAAACAGUCCAUAGAGGAAAUGACAAAGAUCAAAAGGGACACAAAAGGGACAAGGUGAUCCAUCGGUUUAACACUUAUUCUUUGUGUGUUGAUAUGGAUUACUUACUUUCUUCCACUCAACUGAUUAUUGUCAACAUAUUAUCCCAAAUGGGCCAAAUUGGGGAGGACACAUAUACUGCAACCACAGGAGAUACUUCUCAAUAAAUUUCCUCCACUAUUCUGCUUCCACGUGAUGGACUCCUCUUCUAAUUGCUGCAAUCGAGCUUAACAGACAAGGAAAUUCUGGGCUUAAACUCCUAGGCAUUUGGUGGCACUAUGAAGCUGGGGUUCCAAAUUUCCGUAGUCAUUUUCCAUGUUCCAGCUUUGCUUCAAAAGUUGUCUUGAAUCUGAAUAUCCAUAGUCAUUUUUUUGGUGUAGCUUUGUUUAAUUAAACUAGUGGGCUCACCUCCAAACCUUGAGCCUUCUUGGUUCAUACACUGCAUAUGGAUCAACCAAAUAUGUUGUAGUCUUUCCCAAACCAUGAUAUAUGUGCACCAUCAAUACUAGAACGAAGAAGGGAGAUGAAACUAGAAGGCUAAAUAAUGUACAUCUGAUUAGGCUAUCCUCACAUGCUUCAACAACAAAUAUUAUUCUGCUCUGCCAAUCUUCCCUCAAUAUGCUUCAUGGCAGGAAGAGCUUUUGCCAACGAAUCAUAAUAGCAACAAGACAAUGUAAACAAUAAUGCCAACAACUGCAACAUCAUUGUUGUGACAAGAUUCUUUUACUAUUUGAAUAUUUUAUUCAAUUAUAUCAGAAGGCAUCAUGCAAGAAUGUUGGGAGUUUUUUUGUCAAGAAAAAGACAAUCAAAGAAGUAAAAUAGAAGGGCUGGGAAUUUGCAAAACUUUAGAAAUCUGAGGUAAUCCAAAUCACAUUCCAUAAUUGUUGGGGCUUUCGAUGGGCAAGAAUACUUGUUGCUAUAUGUUUAUUGAUGGAACAAUGAGUCUCAAUUUGCUAAAAGUAAAGCUAGGGAAAUUCAGCAUGUAGAUUUGAAAUGGUGUGCAAAUUUCGCUUUAACACAUUUUUAGAUUUGUUGCCUUCAAUUUACACUAUGGAGAUGGUUUCCUGAUGAUUUUGAAGGUUAAUUUUUAACCUCUCCCUUUUUUAUUUUUGGUCUUAACAGUUGAUUGCAUGUGGGAUUGCUGUUGUUACAUACAAUGAGGGGGCAACAGAUUUCAAAAAGACUCCUGUCUACCAGGAAUCAGUCCAAUCUCGAGAUCUUUUAGAAGAACCAGAGACGUCUAACUCAGAUGUUUUUGAGUCCAACCCAACUGAGGAGGCUCCUAGUUUGGAAUAGCCAGUCCAUAUAGAAGAAUGAUUACAUCUGGGAUAUGGUAAAUUAUUGCAAAGAAAUUUUACAUCCUGAGGGCAUUACACUCAAUUUAUAAGGUAAUGUUUCUGUUUAUAUGCCAGAACUUCCUUUCUCAAAUGUAAUUUUACUAUUUUGUGAGAUGUUGAUACAGAAAGAUUUCUUAGUAAGUAAUGAGUUCACAAGAAAAUUUCUGAAUGCGGAAGACAUGCAUGGCUUUGAUUGUCUCUGCUACUCACAUAGUUCACAAGCUUUGUUGUCAGUUUACAUUAUCUGACUCAAUACUGGAAAUAUCUGAUGAAAGUUAAAGCCAGUAUAAACCAGAACACCUUGUAUUGGAUGGCAGGCAGGUGUUGUGUUGUAUCUUUCUUUCUGGAUAAAUACUGCAUUCUUGGAGAAGUGAAAAUAUCUGGUAAGUUUCAUUUGGAGGAUAUUUUCUGGUUUUGGUGAAAGUUGGAGGAUCAUACCAAAUGUGGUUUUUUUGGGGCAAUCCACAAUAAACAGCAAAGCAAUAAUACUUGGUAGAAAAUCUUUCAGGCCUUUAGCUAGUAAGACAAAGGGCAGAGAACAAAUUGAUCCCUUGUAAGUUUUCCUGUAGCAUAUAUUUAUAGUUCUACAAAGCUAAUUGCACUAAAUGUAAGUAUAAUCACUUUCUUAGUUUACCUAUAUAAUUUUAAAAUGGAUAUAGUUUCUACUAUGUUAAGUUACAUUAUUGGUUUCAUUCGAGAAUAUGAUCUUGGUUGAAUAUUUUGUAAUCAAUGCAAUAAACAUAUCGAGAAUAUAUUAUUUUCAUGUUGUAAUUACAAAUCUAUGUAAGGUUAGGUUAUUGGAUAAUCAUCGCAUUUUCUACAAAUAAAUGAUUUAGAUUGCUUGCACUUUUGUCCAAUAUUCGGUUAUUACUCAUGUCUGAUGUUUCUAGGAAUCAUUAAAAAUAUUUUUGUGACUGAUCAGAACUAAGUUGCUUCUCUCCUUUGGGUUUCAAAAAAUUAGAACCAUGUGGGUAGGAUAUUUUUUACCUUCAAAUUCAGUCUGAACUUGUGGUCAUCUAGGAUUUUGAAAUCCAUAUCAAUUCACACGAUGUGGUCAAAUGGGCUUGAUCAUAGAAUAAGUAUUUCAACUAUAAAGUGAAUAACAAAUUAAAUUUUGCUUCUUAUUUUGACCAUUUUUUGUUCAAAUUAUUUCUCAAGGAUUUUGUUUAAGAAUGUGUACUGUAGGAAUUGUGUUUAGUGGCCCUGCUUUAUGAUUCAGACUAAAAACUAAUUACUAUUGCCAGUACUUUAUGAAGUAGACAAACUGUGGUAUUGGAAUCAGGGCUUGGAAUUUGGUAUCUGUAUAUGUGAUAUUUGUUUAAAUGAAGGCUCUGGUGUUCAUUUGUUUAAAUAAUUCAUUAUAAGACAGAAAGGAACUUAUAUAUAAUAGUUCGAACCUAUGUAAGGAUAACAACUUGACUAAAAUCGAAGUAGUAAAAGUAGAAAACUCGUAGCAUAAUCAGUCCAGAGUUCGACUCUUAUACUAUCUUAGAGAUCAAUGAAAAUGCACCUACACUAUGAUAUGCCAUAAUCAGGCUCAAAAUAGAACUUAUGUCAGCAAACAGGCCACCCAAAUGACUGCUACAGCUAAGUCACCUUUCACUUCCAACCUCAUGCUAGAACUCCGGCCAAACCCAAAUCCCAUAAUGCUUGGUCUUGGUGCCACUGCAACCACGGGAGAAGCUGAAAUUCCAACAGAGCAGAUUCUUCAGCUGAGAUAGAACAUGGUAGAUGGAGAAAUGAAAGAGAUCAAAUGAAAGGAUCAAAGAACCAAAUUUGUUUGUAUACCGGCAACAGUGGAAUUGGUGCCUUCACCAAGGGAAACUUGUGAAUCGGGUGAACUAGGAGGCACUGUCAUCCCUUCUGCACAAUCAACAAACAUCUUGGAUUAAACAUUAUUACUGCUAGUAUGUAUCCUUAUCUUAGUUUUUAGAAUGUCCAAAACAAUGCACCAAGAUAGAAUGGUUAUUCACUGUAAGACACCAGAGCCAUGCUUCAGUAAGAUUGGGAUGGUACCUGAACAGGGAGAGAUGCUGACUUGAAGGUUGCAAACAAGUGGCAGCUGCAGAGCCAGCGUCCUGUUAAUGGGGAAAGAGCCCAUGACUGUGCUGUUGAGCAGGAGGCAAAGGCAAUUGGGCUGCUGACUAUAGACUUGCUUGAGGUUGUCACAGCAUGACUGCACUGGUGUUGGGGCUGAACCCUGGACAUAGGAUCCACAUGAAGCCAGAGGUAGCAGGCGAAGGCUGCAUUGCGCUAUGGUAGAGCCUGAGGUGGUGGGGUUCUGAGAAAGAGCAGAAGGAAUAAGGGUGAUGAGAAGUAGGACGAGAGAGGUGAUGGCAGUGGGAGGAAGAGACUGAGAAGCCAUGGUUGUUUGGUUGAUUCUUGGGUGGACAGGGCUGCUGCAUUGUAUUGUAAGGUGUCUAAAUGGGGGAAAUGCAUUGUUUAAGUGUGAGCUGCUGCAUGUCUCUUGUGUGUUGUUCCACAUGCACUUCUUGUUCUAUCUCUGUUUCUCUCUGGCACAUAACUAAUCUGUACUUCAAAGCUCCAUGCAGUUACAGAAUUUACUGAACAUUAACUCGUACACUUUCGGCAAGACAGCAUUUCUCACUUUCCUUUUUGUGAUUAAUUAAGAACCCGAAAAUCAGCAUCAUUCAGAAAUAUUUUCACUAAUUCAUCAGGUACCCACUAAGAUAUUAACAGCUCUCUUAUCAAAAGAAUCCCCAUAGCCAGCCUGCUCAAACUCUCUUCACACAAUAUUUUGUGUGAAACCGUUCUGCAGUAAAGCAAAUUACAUGAUUACGUGAACUAAUUAGAACCACAAGAUAGAAGAUAUUUGAAUGGAGGAGAAAAAUUAACCAAAGAUAACACGCAGGGCUCUUUAUGAAGCACUGAAACAUCUUUUUUCAACUUCACCAUCAACUUUCCCCACCUUAUUUUGCUAUUGCUUGUUAUAUCUCCAUCUGUUUGGUGCCCCAACAACAAAGACAGCUUAAAAAGAUGGGAUUUCUCAAUCAAAUAGCUCAAGUUGUUUAAAGUUGAGGUUGCCCUUCUAACUAUUAGUAGGGAAGUUGAGAUUGAAUCCAUGAACUCAACACGGUAAACUAGCUGCUGUGCUGAAUGCAAAGCUUUGUGUAACCAAGUCAUGACUCUGGUUUCUUGGGCUAAGAAGGGGCUCAACCGAAUUGGUAUCCGCCAAUCCAGUAAGCUUCUACUCCCUCAGACCAGCCUAGCUUCAAUUGAAUCCUUAGAGACCCCUCUGGUUUGUAUUCUCUACAUGCACUUGAAUCAAUUCUUGUAGCAUAGGCUAUGGCCAUAGUGUUCAUGCUUAUGAUUUUUCCCGGAAAAAAAAAAUGGUUGUGCUGGUAAUAGCAGGUCCAGGAGAUAGUCUUAGCAGCUGAUUUACAUUGUCCCAAUUGCCAAAAGAGGGUAGCCAAUGUAAUCUCAAACAUUGAUGGUAAGUUUUGUAAAGGAUUUCUGGUGGGAUCAAAAUUCAUGAAGCUAAUCAUCCUGUGCCUGACUUCAUGAAUAUGCUAAACUAUAUGCUGGCAGAUAUGGAAUCCUUGGUGGUCCAUGUACAAGAGAAGAAGGUGUCACUGAUUCGUCGCGCAUCUGUCAGCUGUGAAGGAAAAGCUGCCAGGAAGGUACCUGCUGCCUACAGUAAUCUCUCUCUCAAAUUCUACAGAAUUGUACGGUUUUCUUCCCACAGCUGACUGCAAGUCUAGAAAAUGAAAUCAUUUAUUAUUCAGAAUCACAUAUCCCUUGUAUGAAUUUGUAGUUUUUGUCACCCUGUGGAGGUAAAUGUGAACCAGGACAUGGCUGUUUCCAUGUUAUUGAAUUGUGUGUUCCUGUAUUGAAUUAUGGUAUUCUGUUAUUAUGACAAUAGGCAACAUUUUCCAGUGGUUUGGCUUGAAUGAAUGAUGUGUAGGCAGUCUGUUUCCUGGAAGCAUAUGGAAGAUGUUUAAUCAAUCCUGGAGAUUAUAAAAUCUUCACUAAAAGGGAUGCCUUUCUGUUUUUCAGAAUGGACCUUUAGGAACAAGAAAAGGAUUCCCUCCUUUAAUGGACAUGAAAAUACCAAAAAAAAAAACAAGUGUAAAGAAGUCAAGAAUAAUGAGGAAGCUACACAACACAAACCCAACGCCUUGCCUUUCUCCUAGCCUUGUGGGAAUCAGAUACCAAAAAGAAAACAAAUAGAACUCCCACCAUAAACCAAUUGAAAGAGGAGCCAGGUUGAGAUCCUUUAUAUUCUCAACAUCGAUCCUAUUUUUCCCUUUUAUUCAUCCCCUUUUUCAUUCUCUGUUUGGGCUUCAUGACAGAAAGGGCAAGUUUCAAUUCUACACCUCUCUCUUUUUUUUUGGGCUCCCUCUCUGUUUUGGCUUCUGAUUUAAUUUGUUUGUG